UGUCUGGAUCGUUCUUCGGCGUCUUGG
rnacentral:sRNA from 1 species